ACGGCUCAGUAACACGUGGAUAACCUAACUUAGGACUGGAAUAACCCCGGGAAACUGGGGACAAUGCAGAUAUGUGGGGCUGCCUGGAAUGGUACCUCAUUGAAAUGCUCCGGCGCCUAAGGAUGGAUCUGCGGCAGAUUAGGUAGUUGGCGGGGUAAAUGCCCACCAAGCCAGUAAUCUGUACGGGUUGUGAGAGCAAGAGCCCGGAGAUGGAACCUGAGACAAGGUUCCAGGCCCUACGGGGCACAGCAGGCGCGAAACCUCCGCAAUGCGAGCAAUCGCGACGGGGGAAACCCAAGUACCACUCUUAACGGGGUGGUUUUUCUGAAGUGUAAAAAGCUUCAGGAAUAAGAGCUGGGCAAGACCGGUGCCAGCCGCCGCGGUAACACCGGCAGCUCUAGUGGUAGCAGUUUUUAUUGGGCCUAAAGCGUCCGUAGCCGGUUUAAUAAGUCUCUGGUGAAAUCCUGUAGCUUAACUGUGGGAAUUGCUGGAGAUACUAUUAGACUUGAGACCGGGAGAGGUUAGAGGUACUCCCAGGGUAGAGGUGAAAUUCUGUAAUCCUGGGAGGACCGCCUGUUGCGAAGGCGUCUAACUGGAACGGGUCUGACGGUGAGGGACGAAACCUAGGGGAGCGAGCCGGAUUAGAUACCCGGGUAGUCCUAGGCGUAAAUGAUGCGAGUUAAGUGUGGGGGCAUCUACGAGAUGGCCCUGUGCUGUAGGGUAGCCGUUAAACUCGCUGCCUGGGGAGUACGGUCGCAAGGCUGAAACUUAAAGGAAUUGGCGGGGGAG
rnacentral:rRNA from 1 species